rnacentral:rRNA from 1 species
AUGUCGUCCAUCGGCUCCUCUAACAUCGGCUUCCAGCUGCUGAAGAAGUCCGGGUGGAAGGAGGGCACCGGCCUCGGUGCGCAGGAGCAGGGGCGUUUGGAACCAGUAGAAACUCGUGUCAAGAACAACAAACGCGGUUUAGGUUCCAAAGAACCAAAGCCAAAGCCAAAGGUUGAGGAUGAUGUUGAAACAGCUCCUAGUAGAAGACCCAAGCAGGAUGCGCCGGUAACGAAGAAGGCAAAGUUGGCCGCAAAGAGGAUACGGAAGAUGCAGGAAGAGGAGAAGAAAGCACAAGAGAGGGAAUUCGAAAUUGCUUUCUUCAGGGAAUUUUGGCCUGAUAAUGUAUAA